ACUCUGCACUACAACACCUGAUUACUACAACCUUCAAGCGCGCCACUGCACCGAGGAAGAACACACAGACACAGCAAUGGAUUGUGCUUCACAUACCAACAGCCAAAAUGACUGCAAUAAAAAAAAACCUGUUGCCAAAUGUCCUACAAAACCAGGCCAAGACAUAUCAUGCCAAGACAUAUCAGGCCAAACCAUAUCAGGCCAAACCAUAUCAGGCCAAACCAUAUCAGGCCAAACCAUAUCAGGCGCUGUGAGCGGCAAUAUUUCCUUUGGCAACCAGACCAAUAAACCCAGUCAUACCGGUUAACAAAAAACUCCCAGAAAAACUGUCGCACCCAGCAUCACCAUAGCCAACAUAACAGGUGGCAGAGUGGGUCUCUACUACAAGGCAGAGAAGAUGGCUCUCUGUGACCUCAUCAAGGGGAGUCAACUCAAGGGCGAAUCCAUCCUUAUCCUGGAAGACACCUUUAAGAAGACCCCUCUUCCUCAGAACCUCGAUUUCACUGGCUUCCAAGUAGAAAGUGACAAUACACACAGAUUAAACUACAUACAAAUUAUUGAUUACAAAUAAACGGAAUAAAUCACAGAUAUGUGAAAAAGUGCUGAGUGUAUGGUCGAAAUCAGCAAUAUAAUCACUGUAGGUUUUUGACCAAAUAAUAAAUGUUACCAAACU